CUGGAUCCCAUACCUGCCAAGGGCGAGCCAGAUGCAGAGCGACAGAGGUGUGUGGCUCUUUCAGUCGUGCCAUUUGGCAUGUCCUGAGUUCUUGUCGCUGUGUGCAGGAAGAAUGAAGUAUGCAGACAAUUGGAGGGUGAGCAAGGCGAAGAGGAGCUUCCUUGAGCGACAGAACAGCUCUCAGGAAACCGGAAGUAAGUAGUUCCUUUCCACAGGCACGUCUUCCGAUGUCCGUGCAGCCCUCCGCAGAGAGCAGACCCAGAGUGUGUAACUCCUACCCACAGGCAGGUUGUCCGCACAUCUGUUGGAGUCUGGCUGAGUCAGGGUUUUUAAGGGUUCAGAGGGGAGGAAGUAUGUGCUGAUUGGUCUAUGGGCAGCCAUGGGUGGGCCUGGAAAAAACACCUUAAGUUCUCACUCUGGUCUGUGGAUUCCACCCUGAACUGACAGCCCAGCCCCCAUGCUUUGGGCAGUUCCUCGCUUGAAGGUAGGGCUUCACUGAGGACCCACCCCUUUCUGCCCAGAAGCCUGUCUGCCGCUUGCCACCAUCAAUCAUAUUCAUGGCGCCCAGGCUGUUUGUGCUGAGGAGCGCCUGAAGGCCUGCAGCGAGCUGGCUCAGUGCCCCCAUGCUCGUUGGCACCCAAAGUCCAGAGGGGGCCACGGUGGCAGGGGGCUGACAUGUCAGUGCCACCCCAAGCGCUCACACACCCAGCUGGGUUGCAACAGCACUUGGGCUUGGCCUCAACUUUGCUCUGCACCUGGAACAGGCACCGGGAGCAGGGAGAGGCCAGGCAGUGGGAGCAGGCACUUUGAAGCCUGCAGCGGCAGGGGAGCUUUCUGUGGCUCCCAAGAGCGCAGGAAAUGCCUGGGUCUGGAGCUACAGCUGUGCAUAGUAGGGAGGGGCUUCCAGCCUACCAACUCGGAAUGGGUUGGGGCUCCUUCCUGUUCCUGGCUCCUGCCCACUCUACGGAGCACGCAGCUCUGGCCUUGCCUUCCCUGCUGCAGCCAGCGUCUUCAGAGCAGCUUCUCAAGAUGGGCAGCCACUGCCAUCAGAAGUCCAAAACAAGAAUUCCUGACUGGCAACGUAGAAAUUGGUUUCUUCAGGAAGCCUUCCCUGCUUCUCUAGUUUGAGUUUCUUCAACUGUUUCAAAUGCUGGAGCAUAGCACACAUGAAGCAAUCCACCGAGGAAGCUCUGCUCAUCCAUUUUUCUCUUGGCUGUCCUUGCACUUUGGUCUCACUCUAUCAGCAAGACUGGAGUGCAGUGGCACGAUUUCAACUCACUGCAACCUCUGCCUCCUGGGUUCAAGUGAUUCUUGUGCCUCAGCCUCCCAAGAUUUAACAUUUCUUUGGAUAUUUUGUGUGUGAAACAGUGUAAAUAUUAUUUAAAUGUAGACUAUGAUUAAUUAAAUAUGUAUAUUGUAAGCCUUAAGUCAACCACGAAAUUUUCUUAAAAAUAAUGAAGUCAAUAUAGGUAAUAAAAGGGUCUCAUAAGUAUUGCCCAAUUAAUCUAAAAGAGAAACAGAAAAAAGAGAAGAGAACAAUAUUUUUAAAAGAACACAUGGAAGAAAUAGAAAACAACUGUCACAAUGGUAAAUUUUGACCAACCACCAGUAAUAUUAAAUGUGAAUGGCCUAAGUUCACCAAUUAAAAGAUGGAGAUUGUUAGAUUGAAUUAAAAUUAAAACAAAUUAAACUAUGUGCUAUCUACAAGAAACCUUUUUCAAAUAUGAAGUUAAGGAAAGGAUGCAAGCGAAAAGGAAGGCAAAAGAUAUUGUAUGUGUUAUACCUGAAUUGUGUCUCUCAAAAUUAUGUAUGUUGAGACCCUAAUUCCCAAUAUGACUGUAUUUGGAGAUAGGGCUAUUAAGAGGUAAAUAAGAUCAAGUGAGGCCAUAAGGAUAGGGUCCUAAUCCUGUGGGAUUGGUGGACUUACAGGAAGAGAGAUCUCUUUCUCCUUUUCCAUGCACAUGCGCACGGAAAGGCCAUGCGAGCACACGGCUUGAAAAUGGUCAUCUGUAAGCCAGGAAGAGGGCUCUCAUCAGAACUCAAACUUGCCAACAUAUCAGAUUUCUAGCCUCCAGAACUAUGAGAAAAUAAAUUUCUGUGCUUUAGACAUCCAGUCUAUGAUAUUUUGUUGUGGCAGUCUGGGCAGACUAAGUCACUAUACAAACCUUAACUAAAAGAAAACUUAAGUAGCUAUAUUAAUAUCAGAUAAACUUAAGAACAAAGAAUAUUAUCAGAGAUAGAUAGGGUAAUUAUGUAAUGAAAAAGCAGUCAAUUUUCCAAGAUGUGACAAUUUUAAGCAUUUUGCACCAAAAAACAGAGUUUCAAAAUACAUUUAUAAAAAAGAACUGAAAUCCCAGCACUAUGGGAGGCCAAGGCGGGUGGAUCACCUGAGGUCAGGGUUUGAGACCAGCCAGGCCAACAUGGUGAAACCUCGUCUCUACUAAAAAUACAAAAAUUAGCUGGGUGUGGUGGUGCACACCUGUAGUUCCAGUUAUUCUGGAGGCCGAGGCAGGACAAUUGUUUGAACCCGGGAGGCGGAGAUUGCAGUGAGCCAAGAUUGCACCAUUGCACUCCAGCCUGGGCGACAGAGCGAGGCUCCAUCUCAAAAAAAAAAAAAAAAAAAAAGAACUGAAAAAAACGGAAAAAUGCACAAUUCUAGUUGAAGACUUUGAUACUUUAAUCUCAGUAUUGAUGGAUAGAACAAAGUGUACAGAAAAUUGCUAAGCAUGUAGAAGACUUAAUACUAUCAACGAACUGAACUAAUAACAUUUAUAGAUCACUAUACCCAACAAAAAAUAUAUAUAUAAUAUUCUUUAACACAGAGAACUUUUGCCAAGAUACAUCAUAUUCUGAAUCAUAAAAAACCCUAAAAUUUAAAGGAAUGAAAAGUAUACAAAGUAUGUUCACAGCUAAUAACCAAAUUAAAUUAGAAAUGAUGAACGGAAAUACCUAAACAAUCACCAAUAUUUGGAGUUUAAGUAACGUACUUCUAACUAACACAUGGGUCAAGAGGAAGCCUCGAGGGAAAAAAAUAUAUAUAAUAUAUAUAUAUUUAAUAUAUAUAAAAAUAUAUAUUAAACAUAUAUAUAUAGAGAGAGAGAGAGAACUAAAUAAAACGAAAAUGCAAUAUAUCAAAAUUUUGGGGAUGCAGUUAAAAGUAGAUGAAGAGUUGAGAUCAGUAUGCUUCUGCCUUAAAAACUGCCUUGCUUAGUUUCCAAAUGUCUGGGGAUUUUUUGAUUACCUUUUUUGUUGUUGUUGUUUCCUAGUAGAAUUCCUUUGGGGUUAGAAAACAUUUUCUGUGUAACUUCAAUAUAAUAUUUUUUGAGAUCUGCAUUAUGACUCAGCAUGUAUUCAAUCAUUUUGUACAUCCUGUAUGCAUUUGAAAGGAACACAUACUUUUCAGUAUUGCAUUGUCUGUCAACUAGGUCAGAUAUGUGAAUUACGUUAUUUAAGUAUUCUAUAUACCUAAUGAUUUGAUGCCUGCUUGUGCUACCAUUUAAUGUGUUUUAUUAAAUGUUUAUGAUUGUAUAUUUCUUUAUGAUUAUAUAUUGCUUUAUUUCUCCUUUGGCACUUCAUUUUUGGGCAAUCUACUUAAUGUAUGCAUUUAGCUCUCAUAAGCUCAAAAUUAGACUUUUAUUUUCAAGUAGUCAUUCACAGUUUUUCCUAUUAGUCCCUAAAGUCUAG
rnacentral:lncRNA from 10 species